rnacentral:rRNA from 1 species
GUAGGUGGCAAGCGUUGUCCGGAAUUAUUGGGCGUAAAGCGCGCGCAGGCGGUUCUUUAAGUCUGAUGUGGGAAGCCCACGGGCUCAACCGUGGAGGGUCAUUGGAAACUGGAGAACUUGAGUACAGAAGAGGAAAGCGGAAUUCCACGUGUAGCGGUGAAAUGCGUAGAGAUGUGGAGGAACACCAGUGGCGAAGGCGGCUUUCUGGUCUGUAACUGACGCUGAGGCGCGAAAGCGUGGGGAGCAAACAGGAUUAGAUACCCUGGUAGUCCACGCCGUAAACGAUGAGUGCUAAGUGUUAGGGGGUUUCCGCCCCUUAGUGCUGCAGCUAACGCAUUAAGCACUCCGCCUGGGGAGUACGGCCGCAAGGCUG